rnacentral:rRNA from 1 species
AUUGAACGCUGGCGGCAGGCCUAACACAUGCAAGUCGAGCGGUAGAGAGGUGCUUGCAUCUCUUGAGAGCGGCGGACGGGUGAGUAAUGCCUAGGAAUCUGCCUAGUGGUGGGGGAUAACGUUCGGAAACGGACGCUAAUACCGCAUACGUCCUACGGGAGAAAGCGGGGGAUCUUCGGACCUCGCGCCAUUAGAUGAGCCUAGGUCGGAUUAGCUAGUUGGUGAGGUAAUGGCUCACCAAGGCGACGAUCCGUAACUGGUCUGAGAGGAUGAUCAGCCACAUUGGGACUGAGACACGGCCCAAACUCCUACGGGAGGCAGCAGUGGGGAAUAUUGGACAAUGGGCGCAAGCCUGAUCCAGCCAUGCCGCGUGAGUGAUGAAGGCCCUAGGGUUGUAAA